UACAGAGGGGGCAAACGUUGUUCGGAAUUACUGGGCGUAAAGCGCGUGUAGGCGGCUCGGCAAGUCGGGUGUGAAAGCCCUGGGCUUAACCUAGGAAGUGCACUCGAAACUGCCAAGCUUGAGUUCUGGAGAGGAAGGCGGAAUUCUCGGUGUAGAGGUGAAAUUCGUAGAUAUCGAGAGGAACACCGGUGGCGAAGGCGGCCUUCUGGACAGCAACUGACGCUGAGACGCGAAAGCGUGGGGAGCAAACAGG
rnacentral:rRNA from 1 species